UGGGGAAUAUUGGACAAUGGGCGCAAGCCUGAUCCAGCCAUGCCGCGUGAGUGAUGAAGGCCCUAGGGUUGUAAAGCUCUUUCACCGGUGAAGAUAAUGACGGUAACCGGAGAAGAAGCCCCGGCUAACUCCGUGCCAGCAGCCGCGGUAAUACGAAGGGGGCUAGCGUUGUUCGGAUUUACUGGGCGUAAAGCGCACGUAGGCGGACUUUUAAGUCAGGGGUGAAAUCCCGGGGCUCAACCCCGGAACUGCCUUUGAUACUGGAAGUCUUGAGUAUGGUAGAGGUGGGUGGAAUUCCGAGUGUAGAGGUGAAAUUCGUAGAUAUUCGGAGGAACACCAGUGGCGAAGGCGGCUCACUGGACCAUUACUGACGCUGAGGUGCGAAAGCGUGGGGAGCAAACAGG
rnacentral:rRNA from 1 species